UACGGAGGGUGCAAGCGUUGUUCGGAAUUAUUGGGGCGUAAAGGGCGGCGUAGGCGGUUUGUCGCGUCUGCUGUGAAAACUGGAGGCUCAACCUCCAGCCUGCAGUGGGUACGGGCAGACUAGAGUGCGGUAGGGGAGAUUGGAAUUCCUGGUGUAGCGGUGGAAUGCGCAGAUAUCAGGAGGAACACCGAUGGCGAAGGCAGAUCUCUGGGCCGUAACUGACGCUGAGGAGCGAAAGCAUGGGGAGCGAACAGG
rnacentral:rRNA from 1 species